AAUCAAACAGUGAAGAGAAGAGUAGUUGAUCGCGAGCGAUUAAAGAGACCCUCGGGAGGUGAAAAGAGGGAUCGUGGAACGUCGAUGAAGAUGAGCUCUGAGUUUUCAGUUUUGUUCACGCAGGCUGGACGGCAAGCGACCGUUAUAUCGCCGGGUAUGUCUGUACCGUUGAGGUAUUGUCUGUGAGGGCGAUAUGAAGAAGGGUGGUAACGCGAAAAUAUUCGUCCCUUUA
rnacentral:ncRNA from 1 species